rnacentral:rRNA from 1 species
ACGGAGGAUCCGAGCGUUAUUCGGAUUUACUGGGUUUAAAGGGUGCGUAGGCGGGCCCCUAAGUCAGCGGUGAAAGUCUGCGGCUCAACCGUAGGAUUGCCGUUGAAACUGGAGUCCUUGGAUUCGGUCGAGGAGGGGGGAAUGCCUGGUGUAGCGGUGAAAUGCUUAGAGAUCACGCGGAACACCGAUUGCGUAGGCAGCCUUCUGGGCCGAUAUCGACGCUGAUCCGCGAAAGCGUGGGGAUCGAACAG